UACAAGACCAUAAACAAAACAAAAGAAAAGUGGAAUUCUGGAAUAUUACAUAAAUUAGAAGAGGUAGAGUAACAUAAAGAAGGAUACAUAGAGGAAUAUUGUUGCGUAUAAUGACAACCGUAGCCCACUGGAAAACAACAAAGUAGAGAAGGUCAACUGUAAUGACCCAAAAAAAAAACUCGCUCUUUAUAAUUUUUGUAUAUUUGUUAACUUAAGUUAAUUCAUCAAUAGUUUAAGGGCUAAAGUGAUAAUUUAUAUAAGACCCUAUACCCUUUUAGCCUAUAUUUAAUAAAAUAUGUGGGUAAAACCUAUCACUUUUAGUACUUAAAUAAUUCUGAAAAAAAAUAGGGAAAACGAGGAACUGCUUGUGGCGGCGACAUUGAACAAGUGCAGUGAUUAGAAAGGAAAACAGAAACUACCUGUGAGUGGCGGCUGGCGUAGACACCACUUCAUUCUCGUCCAGAUUGCCUUGAGUUGGAAGUUCAACAAAGGGGGAAGGAUAAAGUCCCAAAGUGAUUGUUUGAUAAAUUGAGGCAAGUGGAUUUCUAAACUCUUGUUAAGCGUAUGAAAUUCAUGUAUCUUCUUGUGUGAUGUUGAGA